UACGGAGGGGGCAAGCGUUGUUCGGAAUUACUGGGCGUAAAGGGCGCGCAGGCGGCUGCUCAAGUCAGGCGUGAAAGGCCUGGGCUCAACCCGGGAAUUGCGCUUGAGACUGGGCUGGCUUGAGUGCGGGAGAGGAUGGUGGAAUUCCCAGUGUAGAGGUGAAAUUCGUAGAUAUUGGGAAGAACACCGGCGGCGAAGGCGGCCAUCUGGACCGCAACUGACGCUGAGGCGCGAAAGCGUGGGGAGCAAACAGG
rnacentral:rRNA from 1 species